GAAACUGCGAAUGGCUCAUUAUAUAAGUUAUCGUUUAUUUGAUAGUACCUUACUACUUGGAUAACCGUGGUAAUUCUAGAGCUAAUACAUGCUAAAAAUCCCGACUUCGGAAGGGAUGUAUUUAUUAGAUUAAAAACCAAUGCCCUCUGGGCUCUCUGGUGAUUCAUGAUAACUUCUCGAAUCGCAUGGCCUUGCGCCGGCGAUGGUUCAUUCAAAUUUCUUCCCUAUCAACUUUCGAUGUUUGGGUAUUGGCCAAACAUGGUCGCAACGGGUAACGGAGGGUUAGGGCUCGACCCCGGAGAAGGAGCCUGAGAAACGGCUACUACAUCCAAGGAAGGCAGCAGGCGCGCAAAUUACCCAAUCCCGACACGGGGAGGUAGUGACAAUAAAUACUGAUACAGGGCUCUUUCGGGUCUUGUAAUUGGAAUGAGUACAAUUUAAAUCCCUUAACGAGGAACAAUUGGAGGGCAAGUCUGGUGCCAGCAGCCGCGGUAAUUCCAGCUCCAAUAGCGUAUAUUAAAGUUGUUGUGGUUAAAAAGCUCGUAGUUGAACCUUGGGCCUGGCUGGCCGGUCCGCCUCACCGCGUGUACUGGUCCGGCCGGGCCUUUCCCUCUGUGGAACCUCAUGCCCUUCACUGGGCGUGACGGGGAAACAGGACUUUUACUGUGAAAAAAUUAGAGUGCUCCAGGCAGGCCUAUGCUCGAAUACAUUAGCAUGGAAUAAUGAAAUAGGACGUGCGGUUCUAUUUUGUUGGUUUCUAGGACCGCCGUAAUGAUUAAUAGGGACAGUCGGGGGCAUCAGUAUUCAAUUGUCAGAGGUGAAAUUCUUGGAUUUAUUGAAGACUAACUACUGCGAAAGCAUUUGCCAAGGAUGUUUUCAUUAAUCAGGAACGAAAGUUAGGGGAUCGAAGACGAUCAGAUACCGUCGUAGUCUUAACCAUAAACUAUGCCGACUAGGGAUCGGACGAUGUAAAUAAUUGACUCGUUCGGCACCUUACGAGAAAUCAAAGUGUUUGG
rnacentral:rRNA from 1 species